rnacentral:lncRNA from 1 species
CUCUGUCCUGCUCUGCCAUGGUAGAUGUGCUUGCUUUCCCUUUGCCUUCUGCCAUGAUUGUAAGUUUCCUAAGGUUUUCCAGCCAUGCUUCCUGUACAGCCUGCAGAACUGCUCUUUCCUUUAUAAAAUACCCAGUCUCAGAUCGUGUAGACUUCAAUUGGCAGAGUUACUCAGUAUUAUUUACUUGGAAAAUCCUCUGUAACCUAAAAGUCCUAGCUCUCCUGACACUAAGGAUGACAAUGGAACACUUAAAUGGCCUGUUAUUUGAUGAAGAUGAUAUAAAUAGAAGCAGAGCAGCACAUAGUGUGACCACGAAAGGCCAAAGAGCACAUACUGGAGACCUGAAUGUCAACCAAACUGCAUAAUCCCUGUUUAUCUUCAUUGUAGAAAUUGCCAUAACCGCAUUCCUGUAAACUUAUAUUCAUGAAGAAAGUCAGAGUACUUGUUGCAGAUGCAAUGCUAGGUCUUCAGCCAUGUGCUAUAGAAACAGAAGGUGACAAAUAUAACCAAGGAUUGGGAGGAGAAAAAGAAGAAAGCCAAUUUGGGAAAUGAGACUGUAAAGUUUAUAAUGCUACUGAUUUUCAAACAUUUUCAGAAGCAAUGGAAAGAAGAAUGCGAAGAAAAUGAGUUUAUUUUCCAAAAUGCUUUUUUUGUUAUUGUUUUGCAAUUUCCCUUUGUUAACAUCAUAUAGGUUAUGGGGGUUUCUGUUUUGAAAAAAAUAAAUACUGCACCGUGUGUGGAUUGCUACUCAGCACUCAGCAAUAAACAAGUCAAUGAAUGCUCUAGGUUUUAAUGAAUUCGGUUUUACUUCUUUACAUCUACUUAUUAGCUUCUCUACCUAAGAUGUGUACACG